ensembl:snRNA U6 U6 spliceosomal RNA
AGGGAACAAUGCAGAGAACGUUAGCAUGGCCCCUGCACAAGGAUGACACAGACGUUCAUGAAGAAUUCCAUGUUGCC